GCACACUCGUGUCGGUAUUUAAACUGUACUUAAGCAAACAGGCUGUGGUUGAAUUUGUAUUUGAUUUUGAUUGUAUUUAGCAGGAGUGGAGCGGAGUUGUGCUACAUGUGGACGGCGUAAUGAGCAAAACCGGCCCAAGGUAGUGACAUAGUAGGAGGCAUGCAGGGGAGUCAUCACCAGACCAGCGCUCAAUGAGGGAGGGGCAGGCCGUCGAGUGACCACGCCCCUCUCUAAAUAACCACGCCCCGGAUCACGCGGUCGCCACCAAUAUGCAGGAGAUUGUAUAGAAGCCACCCAGCAGCAGGGCUAAGGACAAGCACAGCAGAAGCACACGCUGAAACAGGACUGGGGUAGGUCUUCCAGGCCAUCCGCCCCCAGCAGGGCCCCAGCAGCAGCCCAGCCGACGAGCAUGCCCCCCCCCCCCCCACUCCCGCCUUCACCAAGACCUCCCCACCUCAAAGCAACUCUCAUAGGGCUCCUGCCAGGAAGAAGAACAAUGACUGGACCUCCAGGCUCCAUAUCAACAUGGAAGAGAAGGAUCACGGGAAGCCCUUUCAUGGCUCUUGUUGUGUUUGGCUUUGCAUGUCCAGUUCCUGCAGCUGGACUCUCAACAGACAGAUGCUGUUGAUAUGUGUGUCUCACUGUGGUUUGUUUAAGCAGGAAUUCAGAACAGUGGGAGUCUUGGGGGGAUGUUUCUGAAUAAAGACAGACGUGUCACCACCACGGUGCCUUUCAGUCAGUACAAAUUGUACUGUUGCUCUUCUAUACCACGGCAUUUUUGCACAAAUAACCUUCACCUCUACCAUACAGUAACUUAAAUACUGUAUCCAGACUGAUCCCACCAUUAAUUUGCACUGUAUGUUGUCUUGUCAAUUUGUACUGUUAUGCUUGUGUCCUGUCUGCACUUAUGAUGCUGCUCUGUCUUUGUCCUGCUCUGUGCUGCACCAUGGUCCUGGAGGAACGUUAUCUCAUUUCUCUAUAUACUGUGUGUAUGGCUGAAAUGACAAUAAAACCUACUUGACUU